AAUUUUCUUUUUUCUCCUUCCUUGUUCAGAGGUUGUUCUGCCGUGUUGUUGUUCGGUUAGCGAUUAUAAAAUCACCCCCUUUGUGAAAUCGUAGCGUCUCACCAAAACAAUAAUGGGAUAGAUUACGCCGGUAAUCUAAGUAUUAUUGUACGGUGAUGACGCGUCUCUUUUGUGCAGUGUAUCGUGUUCAUGUCUGUCUUGAAUGCUGGUUGUUAUCAUGCCCCUUCUGUGCCUUGUUAACCUAUCAGGAUCCACUCACUAAUGUGAGAAUGCAUGCCAACAGCCAGGCGACCAUAUAUAAGCAUUACCGUAUGCACGUGUCUACCGCGUUUAAUUGCCACUGCAAUGUUGCUGUAACUUGCAAAAUUUGGGUCUCGUCGUUCCGGGUCAUCAUCCCGCAGUAGCAGCCGACAGCGUGGCACGGGCAGAGGGCAAAGCGCGAAAGGUCACCGGCAGCCGGGCCCCGUUCCUGUGCCAGAGCGCCCCUUCCGCACUCCAACGCCUGGAGACAAUAUUUAAACGGUGAUAAAAUGGAUGGAGUGGGAUCAUUUACACGAUGCCCAUAGAAAACCAUUUUUCAGCGCAGAAUCAAUGGAAACUUGUGGGGAACAGUUAACGGUCGCCCAAGGUCGUUGUUGGAACGACCGACAGCAAACGGCGGUCGAUGUCAUUGGAGCCACAUUGGUAUUAUCUGGAGUGACCCUGUUAAUUUUUGCGGAUGUUCUAACGUGGAGCAGCAUACGACGCGGAUGGAAGAACGUUCGAGGCAACCUAAAGAUGCUACGGCGCUAUAAAAGUGGAUUUAAGAGAAACGUUUUAAAAAUUUCACAGAAAUAGCGUCCCUGCUGCUUUUGAUGCAUCACACUUCAACAUUAUAAAUAAAUUUAAUGUACUUUCAUGGAU